rnacentral:tRNA from 1 species
AACGGUUUUCUAAACCGUCGGUCACAGGUUCGAAUCCUGUUGGGUGUACGA